rnacentral:lncRNA from 1 species
UUUUGGAAAGCAUACCAACAUUCAGACCAUAGAACCAGCCAAUGAGAUUGUGGGCUAUUCUUCCACCAUACUCAAUGGGCAAAGACAUGGAGUAGGGCAGAGAGCUGGAUUUAACCAGGGUUGGAGUUUGGCCAAGCUAAAUAAUGGCUCCCAAAGAUGUGUCUACAUCCUAAUCUCCAGAAUCUGUGAAUGUUACUUUAUGUGGCAAGUACGUGGCAGAUGUAAUUAAGUCAAGGAUCUUUGGAUGGUUAUCCUGAAUUAUCUGGGUGGGCCCUAAAUACAAUCACAAGUGUCCUUAUAGGAGAGAGGCUGAAGGAGAUUUGGUACCAACAGAAGAGGAGGAGGAAAUUGUGAUCAUGCAGAAACUGGAGUGAUGGAGUCACAAGCCAAGGAAUGCCAGCAGCCACCAGAAGCCGAAAGAGGCCCUGCCAACACCUUGAUUUAGGCCUAAUGAAACUGAGUUUAGAUUUCUGGACCCCAGAACUGUGAAAGAAUAAAUUUCUGUUGUGUUAAGCCCCUA